AAGAGAAAAAUAAGUAUAAGCGCCGCCAAGCUCUGCAAAGAGAUCGAGAAAAGAGCCACUUUGGUGAAACACUAUAGUUGUGUUGGAUUCAGAGGACAGAAUCUCCUGUCACACUGAUGGGUUUCGAAGAUCAGAUUCAGCUGUUAGAUUGAUUCUCCAUCUUGUAUCCCACUGAAAGGUACUUUUAUAGCUAGUCCUUUCUAUGAGUAGCCUAUCAUAGCAUCUUCUAUAGCUUUAGGUUGGGUUUGGGAGUGAGUUUACGAGUUACAAGUUGGUUUAAUGAUAAUAUCUUGGAUGAUACAAUGGAUUUGUUACCAAGCAUGUGUCAGUCACGGCUCCUCCUCUCUGUUUUUUGGUUUCACUAGAAUAAAUACGGCGGUUUACGAGUUGAAACGACAUGGUUUUGUGAUUUUUCUCUCCAAGCGAAUGAUGAUACUUAAACUAUUCACUUGAUUAUAGUUUGAACUUGUGUAUUUUGAAACACGAUGUUCAAUAGAUUUAGAUGGUAGUUCAAGUAUUCCAGAUGGUAGAAAUGGGAUAUACAUAUAUGUUUCAGUCUAUCCCCGUAAAAAAAGUUGUAACUCUUGUUGAUCGGAUGGUAGAAACAUAGGUCUUUAAUCCCAUAUAGGUAUUCGAGUAUAUGCAAAAGAGUAAGAUGGAUCUUGAUAAUCUUUGUUUUAGUGAACAUAUAAGAUUCAUUUUAUAUCUUUUGUAAUACUAGACAUAUUCAUGGAUAUGCAAAAAGAAAACUAGGUAUAUGGUUGUGUGAUGAAGAAAUUACAAAAGACAUCAUUGAUGUUUGAGAUAUAUGUCGAAAGUGAAGUUUUUAGCAAACUAUGUUGAAAGAGCAUUGUGAAGCACAUUAAAGAGCGUUCAUCACUUUUGCACUUGUAAUUUUCUCGGAUCAUUGUAUUUGUACCUUUUAGUGUAGUCUUCUGUUGUUGUAAUUUCAUUAUUAAUAGGAAAAAUUAUCUUAUGUUCAUUAUUGAUACCUUUCACUGUCUAAUCAAAUAAUCAGUUUCGUUGCUACUU
rnacentral:sRNA from 1 species